UACGUAGGGUGCGAGCGUUGUCCGGAAUUAUUGGGCGUAAAGAGCUUGUAGGCGGUUUGUCGCGUCUGCUGUGAAAAUCCGGGGCUCAACCCCGGACUUGCAGUGGGUACGGGCAGACUAGAGUGUGGUAGGGGAGACUGGAAUUCCUGGUGUAGCGGUGAAAUGCGCAGAUAUCAGGAGGAACACCGAUGGCGAAGGCAGGUCUCUGGGCCACUACUGACGCUGAGAAAGCGGAAAGCAUGGGGAGCGAACAGG
rnacentral:rRNA from 1 species